UUUCUUCAGAUGAGGGUUAUUUUCCAGAUGACUUACGUGGUUUGACAGGUGCAUAUUUAGUUCAGUCUUCACAUGUUUCAAUUGCUGCAGGGCAGGGAGGCUGUCUUUCCAAGGAACAAGGAUUUUCCAGGAGUUCCUACCCAGAAUCCAGGUUCUGGAGCUGGAGUUUCACCCUGACAUUUGGGGUGCAUCCAAGGCUGCCAGGACUUUGUCUUUCCCCCAGCUCACCAGCCAUGCUCUCUGCGUCUUGCUCAGUGACUGUGGUGGUCCUGCUGCUAACUGUGCGACGGACGAAUGGAGCCUCAGUGACCCAGACAGAGGGACCCGUUAUCCUCUCCGAGGGCUCAUCUCUGACCCUGAACUGCAACUACGAAGCUGACUAUCUGGAUGUUCUUUUCUGGUAUGUCCAGUAUCUCCAUCAGGGUCCUCAGCUCCUGUUGAAAAGUGCAACAGAAAACCAGAGAAUGGAGCAUCAAGGUUUUCACGCCACUCUUGUCAAGAAGGACAGCUCCUUCCACCUGCACAAAUCCUCACUGCAGUUAUCAGACUCAGCUGUGUACUACUGUGCUCUGAGAGACACAGUGAGAGGAACCACAGAAGGAGUUGAGCACAAACCCAGAGGUGUGCAGCUGGGGCUGUGGGUGGGCAGCCCUGGGAGGGUGGAGCUAGGUUUCCCUCCAAAGUCAUGAAGUGUCUGCAGACACUCACAUGGAAGGAACAGAUUCCAUCUUUGAUGUCUCAGGCUUGGGAGCCCUGGAGUAAGUGAGACUGGUGGUGGGAGGAGGAAAUCUAGUAAACAGGGGAGUUCCAGUUAUCUGAGAUGAUCCUGCUUUCAGUAAAGGUGCCUCUAGUGUUCCAGCAGGUUGAAGAUGUUCCCUGGUGUCUGCUGAAGUUUGCAGUGGCUCCCCUGCCAAGAGAAAUGUGGAUCUGGUCUCUCCUGAGAUAUCCUCAUGUUGGUCUGGGAGAUCUGCAAGGAUCUCAUCAUUUUUGUUAAAUAUAAGAUAAGUUAAAUGGGAUAUCAGAGGUGUAAUCCCACUGAUGUCAGCCUGGUGCAAGUGGCCCUCCUCACAGCCUGAGCUACAGAAACUCCUGCCCCAGUUCUCAGGACCUUCAUUUCCUCUCCAGUUCCUCCUUUGCAGCAAUCUUUCCAUCUUCUCCCCGGGACAACAGACAAGAGCCCAGUCGGGAAAGACUGUGAGGGGAGGCUUCCCUUGUCUCUCUGUGUGAGACACAAGUCAGCUGUGUGUGGGGGUGUGACCCUGGGUUUUGUGCUGCUUCUGUUCUUAUUGAUUGGGGGUAAAUAGUAAUUUGGUUUAAAGUUAGCUCUUCCUUUUUUAGGAGCAUAUUCUUUUUUUAAGAUUUAUUUAUUUGAAAGUCAGAGCUACAGAGAGGCAAAGGCAGAGAGAGAGAGAGUGAGAGUGAGAGAGAGGUCUUCCAUCUGCUGGUUCACUCCCCAGAUGGCCACCACGGCCAGAGCUAUGCUGGUCAGAGCCAGGAGUUGGGAAAUUCCUCUGGGUCUCCCACAUGGUUGCAGGUGCCCAAGGACUUAGGCCAUCUUCUACUGCU